AAAGCUUGUAAAACUUUAAUUUACAUCUCCUAACUGCAAAUUAGGCGCUUUAAUUAAGCCAAAACCUC
rnacentral:tRNA from 1 species